rfam:Brachypodium distachyon strain Bd21 chromosome 2, whole genome shotgun sequence.
UUACUACUCCCUCCGUCCAAACAAAGGAUGUUUCCACUUUGACUAAAUUUGAAUGCAUCUAUACACUAAGUCAUGUCUAGAUACACUCAAAUUUUGACAAACUUGAAACAUCUUUUGGUGGAUGGAGGGAGUAUUUG